rnacentral:rRNA from 1 species
CCUACGGGAGGCAGCAGUGGGGAAUAUUGGGCAAUGGGCGCAAGCCUGACCCAGCAACGCCGCGUGAAGGAAGAAGGCUUUCGGGUUGUAAACUUCUUUUAAGAGGGAAGAGCAGAAGACGGUACCUCUUGAAUAAGCCACGGCUAACUACGUGCCAGCAGCCGCGGUAAUACGUAGGUGGCAAGCGGUGUCCGGAUUUACUGGGUGGAAAGGGUGUGCAGCCGGGAAGACAAGUCAGAUGUGAAAUCCCGCGGCUCAACCGCGGAACUGCAUUUGAAACUGUUUUUCUUGAGUACCGGAGAGGUCAUCGGAAUUCCUUGUGUAGCGGUGAAAUGCGUAGAUAUAAGGAAGAACACCAGUGGCGAAGGCGGAUGACUGGACGGAAACUGACGGUGAGGCGCGAAAGCGUGGGGAGCAAACAGGAUUAGAUACCCGGGUAGUC